rnacentral:sRNA from 2 species
AGAUGGGAUCAGGAAUUAAUUUUGGUCUGCCAACGCUCCGUUAAGGACAAUCUUAGUGGGGGGUGGCAAAGAAGAAAGAAAAAAAGAAAGGUUGUUUAUCGAAAUAAAAACCUCCUUUUCUUAUUUCGGCUUUCCAGAUGUCCUUGCAGUACCCCAGUACGGUUCUGCAUCGUUGGAAAAAAGAUGAAUUUCCCUUUUGAACAACAAGGAAAUAUAACAAUAACGCAAAUAGUAAUUGGGUUUCUUUAAAACGACGCGCAAAAUUUUGUGCACGAGGAUCCGGAGGGCGCAGAGGAAAGGGAUAUGAGCGGGAUUGAUGAAUUUGAUGAAUGGCGGCGGGCACGCAAAAGCGCUGAACCUGGUUAAGGGAUGCUUCGAUGGAAAAACAACCAAGUGAUGUGAUUGCGAUGGUGGUUAGGUCAACCAGUAACACAGUGUAGUACUGAGAUUCAAUUAUCCAUUUUUGCCUCAGCAAAGACAGCAGCAUGUUGCAGAUUGGAUUGGAAACAUGUUCUUGCGGCCAACAGAAAAGGAAA